AAUAGAGACAGGGUCUUCCUCGCCAUAUUGUCCAGGCUGGUCUUCACAUUUGCACUCAAGCAAUCGGCCCAUCUCAGCCUCCCAAAGUGCUGGGAUUACAUGCAUGAGCCACUUGCACCCAGCCAGGAAAUUCAAUUUUGACAGACUUCAUAAUGGCUCCCUGUGGUUCAAACACUGAUUAAAAUACGGUAAUUUUGAAAUAGCCAAGAUAACAAGCAUAGGUUAGACUAAUGUACAGACUUUUAAAAGUACUUUGAUUAUGGCUUUUAACAUGCGAUUAUAUGAUGAGAAAACAUACAAACUUUAAAAAGCUGCAUACUGAAGUAUAGCAUUCACAAUUUCUAUCCUAAAAUAGCAAAUCCACACCUAACACUAUAAAUCUGGUGCUGUGCUAAGUCUUUAUUAUUUCAUUUCAUCCAACACCAACCUAAUUAUCAUCCCAAUCUGUCUCCCUUUCUGUAGUCCUCCCCAACCUUCUAACUGCUUCCUUUCUAGGCUUUCAUGCUAUCCUAAUCCCUCCUUAGUUCACCCCAACCCUUCUAAAUAAAAACACAACCAUCAGAUAUCAGGUUAGUUUUUUAUUCAUACUAUUUCCUUCCAAAUUAGUGCUUCUGUUCUGACUCUCAUUUUCUCUUGAUAACACAAUUUUAUUGCACAGUACUAUCCCCUAUAUCUCACUUCCUAUAUGAAGAGGUUUUUUUCUUUCUCUUACCAAGGAAUCUGCCUCUGGGGACAGUUCUCAAGUUGUUGACAUCUUCCUAUUAUUCUAUAAAUGAACAUAUUUUUGGGGCUUUUCAAAGUGAAAUAAGUAUGUGUGCAGCAAGGGUGGGUAGAGUAUGGGAUAUGGGUGGGUAGAAGGUACUGGGGAUAGGGUAAACAUGGGUUUUUGUAGGUAAGAAAGAUUGGUAACUAUUAAAUAGAAUUUUUUUCCUGUUCUUUCAGAGAUUGUUAUCACCUCCUAAAGGACAAGGAUAGUUUCUAACUGGCCUUGACCACAGCUUGGGCCAUGCUUAUCUGUAUUCAUUAUUCAGGGACUUUCUAUGAAAUCUAAUCAUUAGUAUUAUAGACCGGUGCAGUGGCUCACGCCUAUAAUCCCAGCACUUUGGGAGGCCGAGGCGGGUGGAUCACCUGAGGUCGGGAGUUUGAGAUCAGCCUGACCAGCACGGAGAAACUGCAUCUCUACUAAAAAUAAAAAAUUAGCCGGGUGUGGUGGAACAUGCCUGUAAUCCCAGCUACUUGGGAAGCUGAGGUAGGAGAAUCACUUGAACCCAGGAGGCGGAGGUUACAGUGAGCUGAUAUCGUGCCACUGCACUCCAGCCUAGGGGACAAGAGCAAGACUCCAUCUCAAGUAAAUAAAUAAAUAAAUAAAUCUCCAAUCAAUCAAUCAAUCUAAUGAUUAGUAUUAUAAUUCAGGUAUGCUCUAGAUCUCCAAGAAUUUAGAAAAUACAAGGCAGAUGUCAACUGUGUGCCUAUAUAUUUAGAUAUCACUUUUAAUAAUAGAAAUGUGGCACACGUAAAACAUUAUUUUAUAUGGGAAGCUAAAAGACUAUUAAAUAUACAGAUUUAUAGAUAUUGUUAGGGCAUAUGUAACCACUAAUAAGGUUUUUUAAAUGUAAUCUUCAGUGCAGAACACCUUACAAAAAAAGCACUUGAAGUUUUGUUGUUGUUGUUUUUUUUUCCUGAGCCAGAGUCUUGCUUUGUCACCCAGACUGGAAUGCAGUGGCAUGAUCUCGGCUUACUGCAACCUCCGCCUCCUGGGUUCAAGCGAUUCUGCUGUCUCAGCCUCCCAAGUAGCUGGGAUUACAGGCACGUGCCACCGUGUCCGGCUAAUUUUUGUUAUUUUUUUUUUUUUUUGAGAUGGAGUCUUGCUCUGUUGGAAUGCAGUGGUGUGAUCUCAGUUCACUGCAACCUCCACCUCCCGGGUUCAAGCAAUUCUCCUGCCUCAGCCUCCCGAGUAGCUGGAAUUAAGAGGCUCCCGCCACCAGGCCCAGCUAAUUUUUGUAUUCUUAGUAGAGAUGGGGUUUCACCAUGUUGGCCAGGCUGGUCUCCCUGACCUCAUAAUCCAUCUGCCUCGGCCUCCCAAAGUGCUGGGAUUAUAGGCGUGAGCCACCACGCCCAGCUGAUAGAAAUUUUAAAGUUAAAAGAUUAUAACUGUCAUUCUGUUACCGAAGUACUAUAUAAAUUACCUUCUCAAACCGAGUUUUUCUAUUCUUUUAAAAGUUAUUAUAAUAUACCCACUGAUCUUUUUAAAACAAACAUGAGCUCAUCAGUCCACUGCUAGAUUUUAUCCUGUGAAGAAGGAGGUAUUUUCCCCUAGAGAUUCAGCAUAGCUCCACUGACACCUUGAGGCUUCUAGCCUCAAGAACUAUAAGACAACAAAUUUCUGUUGUUUGAAGCCACUAACAUGUACUUUGUUACGGCAGCUCUAGGAAACUAAUCCAUCUUUCUAGCCAUAUUGCUUUCCCCACUUACGUAAAGACUAGAAGCCAACUACUUUG
rnacentral:lncRNA from 1 species